rfam:Pelodiscus sinensis unplaced genomic scaffold scaffold6039, whole genome shotgun sequence.
GGCCAGCUAGCUCAGUUGGCUAGAGCGUGGUGUUAAUAAUGCCAAGGUCAUGGGUUCAAGCCCUAUGCUGGCCA